UACGGAGGGUGCAAGCGUUGUCCGGAUUCAUUGGGUUUAAAGGGUGCGUAGGCGGGUUAUUAAGUCAGUGGUGAAAGCCGGCAGCUCAACUGUCGAACUGCCAUUGAUACUGGUAAUCUUGAAUUCAGUUGAGGUAUGCGGAAUUGAUGGUGUAGCGGUGAAAUGCAUAGAUACCAUCAGGAACACCGAUUGCGAAGGCAGCAUACUGGGCUUGAAUUGACGCUGAGGCACGAAAGUGUGGGGAUCGAACAGG
rnacentral:rRNA from 2 species